UAGGGUAAGGGUUUAGAGGUGGGGUAUGGCGAGGCAGAGAAAAUGGCUUCUAGAAAGAGUGCCUCCGCUUUUCCUGGGCCAUCCCACACUCGCUCUGUACUUGGGUGUGUGAGGAGGGAAGCAGAGCAGACCCCACCUGUGGACCAGGCCUGAGGUGCUCCCCGCAGCUGUGACCUGACCAGGUGGUUGUGAGGCUGCAAGGAGCACCAAAGAGCUUCCCAAGUCAGGGAAGACAGUCCUCCCUCUCAGUUCUCUCCCUCCCACUCUCGACUGCUCUGCCCUCCUCUCGCCUGCUGACCACUGGCAGUUCCUGGUGAGAACUCAGACCUGCAAAACACUGCAUGGCCUCACGUUCCUUGGCAGUGCAGUCUUCACCCGUCAGGGCCCUGGGUGUCUCCACCCUUCCUCAUCCUCAGUCAUAACCGCUUUGUUGCACCAUAGCCCAUUCUGCUUUCCUCCUCGGCUCAUCUUUAUCGGCCAGUCUGGCCCUCUUGCCCAACCUCAUGACUUCCACCGAGAAAGCCAGUGUUGAGGACAGAGGGUCGUGCUUUGGAGAGAGGAAGCACGGAAGAGGAUGGAACACACUGGGUUCCUACUUAACCUUGCUGGGUCAUGGUGCACGUAAAGUCCUGACUCAUCAACUGGACACCACACUGGCCUCCUCAGCUGUAGGGAACUCCUAGCCCCGCAUCAGUGCCCCUCCUAACACCUCCCACCUUGUCUGCCAAACUGAGCACACGUCCUUGGUAGCCCUGCCUGCACCCCCUUCUCCAUUGAGGUCUGACCUCCAGGACUUUGUUCAGCGUCACCUGCUUUACCAGGCUGAGGGCUUUCUAAAGAUGUGACGCCAUCGUAGCAUCGUUCUACCAAUAACAUUUCUCAAGUGGGCCACGACCCGGUCAAGUCCAGCCUCUGUCUUUCCCAAACAGCUAAGGCUCCCUCCCCGUCUUCCCGCUCAGCUCGGUUAUCUCAGUGAAUGUCACACCUCUUGGGAACUGACCUGAUUGUCUACAACUGAGGUAAGGCAUUCUGGAACUCAAAAAAAAAGUAGCCUUCGGAGCUCCCUGCCCAAAAAACUUAUUAAUUUUGCUAUUUUAACUCUGCACAUAAUUUAUCCUGCAUUUCAGACAUGACUUUUUAACUACCUGCUGGGCACUGCCACCUGGAUGCCAAGUCCACCCUUAAUACAGAACAGUAGUUAAAGCAGCCCUUCCUCUCAAGCUCCCAAGCCAGAGCUCUCCCCUGCCAGUCAAGGUGCCUGCCUCUCCCUCUCCCUCACCACCUUCUAGGCCCCAGGAAUGGGGGAGUCUCUCAACAGUCCCUCCAGAUUACCCCUCCUCCCCACAACCACAGGCUAAAGCAGGCUUGAAGCUUCAAACUUACGGUGUCCCCAACUGGCCUCAUUCCCACCUCCUGAGCUCUGUUCCUUGUAACAGCUUUCCCUCAUCCUCUCUGCCCUUCAACACCUACUAUCGCUAUACAUCCACGCCUGCCCUUCAGAACCCCACUGCUUGCGAGUCCCUUACCCACCUUGUCCUUCACGUCAAGGCUCAAAAGUCACCUCUUCUGUGAAGCUUUGGUGACUACCUCCUCUGGGUCCUAAUAACCCACCCUUUGCUUCAGGAUACUUAACACACUGGGAGAUCUAAUGUGGUCAUGGGGCCUGGCUGGUUUGGCUCCGUGGAUAGAGCGUCGGCCUGGAGACCGAAGGGUUCCGGGUUCGAUUCCGGUCAAGGGCACGUACCUCAGUUGCAGGGCUCCGCCCUGACCGAGGCCCCAGUCGGCAUGCGUGCAGGAGGCAACCAAUCGAUGUGUUUCUCUCACAUUGACAUUUCUCUGUCUUUCCCUCUCUCUAAAAAUCAAUGGAAAAAAUGUUAUUCGGAUGAGGAUUAAAAAAAAAAUAAAGUGGCAAUUGGUG